rnacentral:rRNA from 1 species
GACGAACGCUGGCGGCGUGCCUAAUACAUGCAAGUCGAGCGGAGUUAGAGAAGCUUGCUUCUCUAACUUAGCGGCGGACGGGUGAGUAACACGUGGGCAAUCUGCCCGUAACGACUGGGAUAACUCCGGGAAACCGGGGCGUAAUACCGGAUAAUCCUGACUCUCUCCUGAGAGUCAGUUGAAAGAUGGUUUCGGCUAUCACUUACGGAUGAGCCCGCGGCGCAUUAGCUAGUUGGUAGGGUAAUGGCCUACCAAGGCGACGAUGCGUAGCCGACCUGAGAGGGUGAUCGGCCACACUGGGACUGAGACACGGCCCAGACUCCUACGGGAGGCGGCAGUAGGGAAUCUUCCACAAUGGACGAAAGUCUGAUGGAGCAACGCCGCGUGAGUGAAGAAGGUUUUCGGAUCGUAAAACUCUGUUGUAAGGGAAGAACACGUACGAGAGUAACUGCUCGUACCUUGACGGUACCUUAUUAGAAAGCCACGGCUAACUACGUG